CCAGACUCCUACGGGAGGCAGCAGUGGGGAAUAUUGCACAAUGGGGGAAACCCUGAUGCAGCGACGCCGCGUGGGUGACGAAGUAUUUCGGUAUGUAAAGCCCUAUCAGCAGGGAAGAAGAUGACAGUACCUGACUAAGAAGCCCCGGCUAACUACGUGCCAGCAGCCGCGGUAAUACGGAGGAUGCGAGCGUUAUCCGGAUUUAUUGGGUUUAAAGGGUGCGCAGGCGGAAGAUCAAGUCAGCGGUAAAAUUGAGGGGCUCACCCUCUUCGAGCCGUUGAAACUGGUUUUCUUGAGUGAGCGAGAAGUAUGCGGAAUGCGUGGUGUAGCGGUGAAAUGCAUAGAUAUCACGCAGAACUCCGAUCGCGAAGGCAGCCUACCGGCGCGCAACUGACGCUCAUGCACGAAAGCGUGGGUAUCGAACAGGAUUAGAUACCCCAGUAC
rnacentral:rRNA from 1 species